GACGAACGCUGGCGGCGUGCCUAAUACAUGCAAGUAGGGCGCAGUUGCGAACGGGUGAUUAACGCGUGGGUAACUACCUAUUAGAGUGGGAUAACUAUUGGAAACGAUAGCUAAUACCGCAUACUAGUAACUAGACCUUCGUUGUAUUAGCUAGUAGGUAGGGUAAUGGCCUACCUAGGCAACGAUACAUAGCCGAACUGGAAGGGUGAUCAGCCACACUGGUACUGAGACACGGCCCAGACUCCUACGGGAGGCAGCAGGAGGGAAUCUUCAGCAAUGGACGAAAGUCUGACCGAGCAAUGCCGCGUGAGUGAAGAAGGUUUUCGGAUCGUAAAGCGCUGUUGUUGGAGAAGCGGUAUCUAACCAGGAAGCAACGGCUAACUCCGUGCCAGCAGCCGCGGUAAUAC
rnacentral:rRNA from 1 species